UGGUUAAAAAGCUCGUAGUUGGAUCUCGGCGGACUGAGGGCGGUUUGCUUGCUAGUAUUACUGCCCUAUAGUCCGUAGUUUUGCCAGAGGUUUCGGGGUGCUCUUAAUCGAGUGUCCCGGGAUGCUGGCAGGUUUACUUUGAAAAAAUUAGAGUGCUCAAAGCAGGCUAUUAUGCCUGAAUAUUCGUGCAUGGAAUAAUAGAAUAGGAAGUCGUUUCUAUUUUGUUGGUUUUCGGAAAUCGACUUAAUGAUUAAUAGGGACAGUCGGGGGCAUUUGUAUUCAAACGACAGAGGUGAAAUUCUUGGACCGUUUGAAGACAAACUACUGCGAAAGCAUUUGCCAAGAAUGUUUUCAUUAAUCAAGAACGAAAGUUAAAGGUUCGAAGGCGAUUAGAUACCGCCCUAGUUUUAACCAUAAACGAUGCCAGCUAGCGAUCUGCGGACGUUUUUUUUGUAGACUCCGCAGGAAGCUUCCGUGGAAACCAAGAGCAUUUGGGUUUCCAGGGGAAAGUAUGGUUGCUAAGCUGAAACUUAAAUUGAAUUGACGGAAGGGCACCACCAGGAGUGGAGCCUGUGGCUUAAU
rnacentral:rRNA from 1 species